AUUGAACGCUGGCGGCAGGCCUAACACAUGCGAGUCGAGCGGUAACACAGGGAGCUUGCUCCUGGGUGACGAGCGGCGGACGGGUGAGUAAUGUCUGGGAAACUGCCUGAUGGAGGGGGAUAACUACUGGAAACGGUGGCUAAUACCGCAUAGCGUCGCAAGACCAAAGAGGGGGACCUUCGGGCCUCUUGCCAUCAGAUGUGCCCAGAUGGGAUUAGCUAGUAGGUGGGGUAACGGCUCACCUAGGCGACGAUCCCUAGCUGGUCUGAGAGGAUGACCAGCCACACUGGAACUGAGACACGGUCCAGACUCCUACGGGAGGCAGCAGUGGGGAAUAUUGCACAAUGGGCGCAAGCCUGAUGCAGCCAUGCCGCGUGUAUGAAGAAGGCCUUCGGGUUGUAAAGUACUUUCAGCGGGGAGGAAGGCGAUAAGGUUAAUAACCUUGUCGAUUGACGUUACCCGCAGAAGAAGCACCGGCUAACUCCGUGCCAGCCGCCGCCGUAACAC
rnacentral:rRNA from 1 species